GAGGGUGUAGCUCACCGGUAGAGUGUGUGCUUAGUGUGCACAAGGUCCUGGGUUCAGUCCCUAGUACCUCCA
rnacentral:tRNA from 1 species